CCUACGGGUGGCUGCAGUGGGGAAUAUUGGACAAUGGGCGCAAGCCUGAUCCAGCCACGCCGCGUGAGUGAUGAAGGCCUUCGGGUCGUAAAGCUCUGUGGGGAGGGACGAACCGCUGUCGGUUAAUACCCGGCAGCAUGACGGUACCUCCUUAGCAAGCACCGGCUAACUUCGUGCCAGCAGCCGCGGUAAUACGAAGGGUGCAAAAGUGGCCGGGAAUUGUUCGGCGGAGAGUUAACGAAGUGGGUGUGAAAGCCCUCGGCUUAACCAAGGAAGUGCAUCCAAAACUGCUGAGCUUGAGUAGUUAAGAGGAUCGCGGAAUUCCCGGUGUAGAGGUGAAAUUCGUAGAUAUCGGGAGGAACACCAGUGGCGAAGGCGGCGAUCUGGGAACAUACUGACGCUGAGGUGCGAAAGCGUGGGGAGCAAACAGGAUUAGAUACCCGUGUAGUC
rnacentral:rRNA from 1 species